GGUUAAGCGACUAAGCGUACACGGUGGAUGCCCUGGCAGUCAGAGGCGAUGAAGGGCGUGCUAAUCUGCGAUAAGCGCCGGUAAGGUGAUAUGAACCGUUAUAACCGGCGAUACCCGAAUGGGGAAACCCAGUGUGAUUCGUCACACUAUCAUUAACUGAAUCCAUAGGUUAAUGAGGCGAACCGGGGGAACUGAAACAUCUAAGUACCCCGAGGAAAAGAAAUCAACCGAGAUUCCCCCAGUAGCGGCGAGCGAACGGGGAGGAGCCCAGAGCCUGAAUCAGCAUGUGUGUUAGUGGAAGCGUCUGGAAAGGCGCGCGAUACAGGGUGACAGCCCCGUACACAAAAGCGCAUGUGCUGUGAGCUCGAUGAGUAGGGCGGGACACGUGGUAUCCUGUCUGAAUAUGGGGGGACCAUCCUCCAAGGCUAAAUACUCCUGACUGACCGAUAGUGAACCAGUACCGUGAGGGAAAGGCGAAAAGAACCCCGGCGAGGGGAGUGAAAAAGAACCUGAAACCGUGUACGUACAAGCAGUGGGAGCACAGGUUUACCUGUGUGACUGCGUACCUUUUGUAUAAUGGGUCAGCGACUUAUAUUCUGUAGCAAGGUUAACCGUAUAGGGGAGCCGUAGGGAAACCGAGUCUUAACCGGGCGUUAAGUUGCAGGGUAUAGACCCGAAACCCGGUGAUCUAGCCAUGGGCAGGUUGAAGGUUGGGUAACACUAACUGGAGGACCGAACCGACUAAUGUUGAAAAAUUAGCGGAUGACCUGUGGCUGGGGGUGAAAGGCCAAUCAAACCGGGAGAUAGCUGGUUCUCCCCGAAAGCUAUUUAGGUAGCGCCUCGUGAAUUCAUCUCCGGGGGUAGAGCACUGUUUCGGCUAGGGGGCCAUCCCGGCUUACCAACCCGAUGCAAACUGCGAAUACCGGAGAAUGUUAUCACGGGAGACACACGGCGGGUGCUAACGUCCGUCGUGAAGAGGGAAACAACCCAGACCGCCAGCUAAGGUCCCAAAGUCAUGGUUAAGUGGGAAACGAUGUGGGAAGGCCCAGACAGCCAGGAUGUUGGCUUAGAAGCAGCCAUCAUUUAAAGAAAGCGUAAUAGCUCACUGGUCGAGUCGGCCUGCGCGGAAGAUGUAACGGGGCUAAACCAUGCACCGAAGCUGCGGCAGCGAACGUAUCACCCAAGACAACUUUACGGAGUUGACGAUUGACGGAGCGAAGCGACGUCAAAGCGUUCAUUAAAGUCGAGUUGGCUUAGGGAUACGUUCGUUGGGUAGGGGAGCGUUCUGUAAGCCUGUGAAGGUGUGUCGUGAGGCAUGCUGGAGGUAUCAGAAGUGCGAAUGCUGACAUAAGUAACGAUAAAGCGGGUGAAAAGCCCGCUCGCCGGAAGACCAAGGGUUCCUGUCCAACGUUAAUCGGGGCAGGGUGAGUCGACCCCUAAGGCGAGGCCGAAAGGCGUAGUCGAUGGGAAACGGGUUAAUAUUCCCGUACUUGGUGUUACUGCGAAGGGGGGACGGAGAAGGCUAUGUUGGCCGGGCGACGGUUGUCCCGGUUUAAGCGUGUAGGUGUGUGUUCCAGGUAAAUCCGGUUCACUUUAACACUGAGGCGUGAUGACGAGGCACUACGGUGCUGAAGCAACAAAUGCCCUGCUUCCAGGAAAAGCCUCUAAGCAUCAGGUAACAUCAAAUCGUACCCCAAACCGACACAGGUGGUCAGGUAGAGAAUACCAAGGCGCUUGAGAGAACUCGGGUGAAGGAACUAGGCAAAAUGGUGCCGUAACUUCGGGAGAAGGCACGCUGACACGUAGGUGAAGUGAUUUACUCACGGAGCUGAAGUCAGUCGAAGAUACCAGCUGGCUGCAACUGUUUAUUAAAAACACAGCACUGUGCAAACACGAAAGUGGACGUAUACGGUGUGACGCCUGCCCGGUGCCGGAAGGUUAAUUGAUGGGGUCAGCGCAAGCGAAGCUCCUGAUCGAAGCCCCGGUAAACGGCGGCCGUAACUAUAACGGUCCUAAGGUAGCGAAAUUCCUUGUCGGGUAAGUUCCGACCUGCACGAAUGGCGUAAUGAUGGCCAGGCUGUCUCCACCCGAGACUCAGUGAAAUUGAACUCGCUGUGAAGAUGCAGUGUACCCGCGGCAAGACGGAAAGACCCCGUGAACCUUUACUAUAGCUUGACACUGAACAUUGAGCCUUGAUGUGUAGGAUAGGUGGGAGGCUUUGAAGUGUGGACGCCAGUCUGCAUGGAGCCGACCUUGAAAUACCACCCUUUAAUGUUUGAUGUUCUAACGUGGACCCGUAAUCCGGGUUGCGGACAGUGUCUGGUGGGUAGUUUGACUGGGGCGGUCUCCUCCUAAAGAGUAACGGAGGAGCACGAAGGUUGGCUAAUCCUGGUCGGACAUCAGGAGGUUAGUGCAAUGGCAUAAGCCAGCUUGACUGCGAGCGUGACGGCGCGAGCAGGUGCGAAAGCAGGUCAUAGUGAUCCGGUGGUUCUGAAUGGAAGGGCCAUCGCUCAACGGAUAAAAGGUACUCCGGGGAUAACAGGCUGAUACCGCCCAAGAGUUCAUAUCGACGGCGGUGUUUGGCACCUCGAUGUCGGCUCAUCACAUCCUGGGGCUGAAGUAGGUCCCAAGGGUAUGGCUGUUCGCCAUUUAAAGUGGUACGCGAGCUGGGUUUAGAACGUCGUGAGACAGUUCGGUCCCUAUCUGCCGUGGGCGCUGGAGAACUGAGGGGGGCUGCUCCUAGUACGAGAGGACCGGAGUGGACGCAUCACUGGUGUUCGGGUUGUCAUGCCAAUGGCACUGCCCGGUAGCUAAAUGCGGAAGAGAUAAGUGCUGAAAGCAUCUAAGCACGAAACUUGCCCCGAGAUGAGUUCUCCCUGAGACUUUAGGUCUCCUGAAGGAACGUUGAAGACGACGACGUUGAUAGGCCGGGUGUGUAAGCGCAGCGAUGCGUUGAGCUAACCGGUACUAAUGAACCGUGAGGCUUAACCUU
rnacentral:rRNA from 1 species